UAAGGUGGUUAUUGCGGCGGGGCUCACCUCUUCCCAUCCCGAACAGAGUAGUUAAGCCCGCCUGCGCAGAUGGUACUGCAG
rnacentral:rRNA from 1 species